rnacentral:rRNA from 1 species
ACAUCCAGCGAACUUGGCAGAGAUGCCCUGGUGCCUUCGGGAACGCUGAGACAGGUGCUGCAUGGCUGUCGUCAGCUCGUGUUGUGAAAUGUUGGGUUAAGUCCCGCAACGAGCGCAACCCUUAUCCUUUGUUGCCAGCGAUUCGGUCGGGAACUCAAAGGAGACUGCCGGUGAUAAACCGGAGGAAGGUGGGGAUGACGUCAAGUCAUCAUGGCCCUUACGAGUAGGGCUACACACGUGCUACAAUGGCGCAUACAAAGAGAAGCGACCUCGCGAGAGCAAGCGGACCUCAUAAAGUGCGUCGUAGUCCGGAUCGGAGUCUGCAACUCGACUCCGUGAAGUCGGAAUCGCUAGUAAUCGUGGAUCAGAAUGCCACGGUGAAUACGUUCCCGGGCCUUGUACACACCGCCCGUCACACCAUGGGAGUGGGUUGCAAAAGAAGUAGGUAGCUUAACCCUCGGGAGGGCGCUUACCACUUUGUGAUUCAUGACUGGGGUGAAGUCGUAACAAGGUAGGCGUAGUGCU